GUGGGGAAUAUUGGACAAUGGGCGAAAGCCUGAUCCAGCAAUGCCGCGUGAGUGAUGAAGGCCUUAGGGUUGUAAAGCUCUUUUACCCGGGAAGAUAAUGACUGUACCGGGAGAAUAAGCCCCGGCUAACUCCGUGCCAGCAGCCGCGGUAAUACGGAGGGGGCUAGCGUUGUUCGGAAUUACUGGGCGUAAAGCGCACGUAGGCGGUUUUGUAAGUUAGAGGUGAAAGCCUGGGGCCCAACCCCAGAAUUGCCUUUAAGACUGCAUCACUUGAACGUCGGAGAGGUGAGUGGAAUUCCGAGUGUAGAGGUGAAAUUCGUAGAUAUUCGGAAGAACACCAGUGGCGAAGGCGGCUCACUGGACGACUGUUGACGCUGAGGUGCGAAAGCGUGGGGAGCAAACAGGAUUAGAAACCCCAGUAGUCC
rnacentral:rRNA from 1 species